rnacentral:lncRNA from 1 species
ACGAUCUAUGACUACAGCCGUACCGACCAUAGUGAUCCUAUCAUAUAUUCUAUAGUCAUGAUAGUACUUAGCCAAAGGUGACCCCUAACAGAUAUUUGUGUCACCACUCUCAUCGAAGGGUACGCCAUCAUCCAUAGGGAGCAGUCCUCUUAUGUCUUUCCAGACCAGAUGAGGGAGGGAAAAACAGAUACCCUAAAUGGGGUUAGGGAAACAGAUACCUCUCAGAGAUAAAAAACCUAAUGAG